ensembl:lncRNA
UUACGACAGGGACUAUUUAAAGGUGUCAUUUUUUUUUUGUUUGUUUGAUGCGUAAUCUGGCACAAAAGUAUAUGUCAAAUAUUGAUACACACCAGCAGGAUCACUCAUUGAACAGACUCCACUGUAAUAGAACCCAUUCUGACCGCAGCAGCAUCCAUCCGCUAUGACCUUAAUGAUAGACAAGAAGUAAAAUCAUCACCUUUUUGAGAACACAGAGAAAAGCUGAAAAUGCAAACGCUUCAUAAAAGUAGAAUUUAGGGCAGAACUCUGCGUUAGAUUUCACAGGUGUACCUAAAAAAAAAGCAGGCAGCAAGUGUAUAGCAGCUUUAAAUAUGGAUUCAGAUUUUUAUUUUUCAUUUUGUUUUUUCAGACAAUAGUCAAUACUUUACAGCUAAGUGUGAGAACACAUUUACCUGUUGUUUUGCCAAGCUAUGCACCAAAAGAUGACGUUAUGUGUUGAGGCGGGGGCACAUUUCCGGACGGAAGUGUGGCGCUGUGUGUGUGUGUGUGUGUGUGUGUGUGUGUGUGUGUGUGUGUCUAGGUGUGUGUGUGUGAUUUUGUGUUUGUUCUACUGGAGGGCAAACUGCCACGUCAGUUUGGAUCAGAGGUUUCUGUCUUCUGCCAGGAUGUCCUGUAGCAGACUCCACCUUCCUGGUUAUGGCAGCAUCUCUCCACACUUCUACCCCAAACAUACACUACAAGAGCCGUUCCUAAACAAGCCGAAUCACAUGUGAUAACAAACUGUUCCUCACUUUGUCUUCGCAGUUAAUGGACAACGGAGCAAAACGAUGUUCACAGAAGAAAGAAAAUGGAAACCACUGCAGCCAGCGAAGCAGAAGAAGGUAGAAAGGAACAAUGAGGGCCCAGAAGGGAGGGAGGAGGCAGCUGGAUGGGCAGCGAGUGAACUCAAAGCGGCCGACACCUUUGUUUCCAUUAGCACCACCCAAAAACCAUGAAAGUCAAGCCGGUUGGAGUGGGACACAUCCAUCCUCCACCCGCCUGCACUCAGAAGAGAGUCGUCUAACUCCAGGCUGGGAAGGAUAAAUAUGUAAACACUUGUGACAGCAGCAGACACCAUGGAAGGCAGCUCUCCACAUGCAGCACAAUCUCCUCAGCUGGAAUUAAAACACACAUAACAGAUCGCUGCUGCUGUGAGUCUGAUGUCGCCGUCGGGUGAAGCAGAACUGCAGCUGUUGGGCUGCGAGGAAACGACCGAGACGUGAAGGUGGACUCUCAAAACGUCCGAUGGGAGUGUGUGUGUGUGUGUGUGUGUGUGUGUGUGUGUGUGUGUGUGUGUGUGUGUGUGUGUGUGUGUGUGUGUGUGUGUGUGUGUGUGUGUGUGUGUGUGUGUGUGUGUGUGUGUGUAUGUGUGUAUGUGUCUAAUUUGAUGAUAUUAUAUCAUAUCUGUUAAAAAAAAUUAGAAAAUGUAAGCUACUUCUGUCUCUCCUAACACUGAUGUAAUGCUGCUGGCUGUUCUACAUGUUCUAUACUUGUUUUCAUGUGAACGUUGUUUGUAAAUUUCUGUUUUCAAAAUCUGAGUCCAUGUCAGAGUCUGUCAAUAUUUAUUGAGCUGGCUGAUGUUGGCUGUGCAGUGAUGCCAGGCUACAAACAAGUGCUAUAAAAUAGAUUAUAUAUUAUAUUAGUAAACUGCAUUUUACUCUACACUUUGUAACGUGACUCGGAGACAGCUGGUCGCUAAUACAUUUAAUUUCAUCCCUUUUAAAAGUGUUACACAACUUGCUGCUCCUUCUUCUCGGUGUCACGUUGACUUCGACCCUCCACUUCUGUCAAAGAAUGCGAGCAGCUGCAUGAUGCAUGUCAACAUGUGGACACAUUUUUAUACUCUUGUCCCUCUGCUGAGUACAUGACAGGCUUUGCUUCGUGCCACAGAGCCUCGGUUUGUCAGAAUUUCAUGUUUAGUUUGUGUGUGAGAGACAGACGGGGAGCAUGGCGGCAGAUGGGGUGUGCUGGAGACUAAAAAUGCUGUUGCAAAUAGCCUCUGUGGGUCGGAGAGGGGGAACAGAGAGCACAUACUGCUGAGGAGAGAAUCGUGACAGUCGGUUGUGGUGAAACAUCCGACGAAUGUGAGCAGGAUUUCGUCGUUCGUGUGCAUUUUAAUGUGAAGUUUAAUGAAAUAAAGCGAU